CCACCUCGGCGGGUGUGAGCAAUUCGCUAGGAGGGCGCCGAUUACAGCCCCCUGAAGGAGGACCUGCACUCCUGGAGGGCAGCGGAGGAGGCGGCUCGGAUCCUGGGCGCCAGUGGGAGGCGGCCUGAGCAGCCGAGGACUACCGGGUGUUACCUGCAGAGGGAGUGCGUGCGGGGGCUCCUCCUGUACCUAGAGAAAGGGAAAGAGACCUUGUAAGAAGCAGAUCCUCCACAGACACAUGUGACCUGCCACCCCAUCUCUGACCAUGAGGGGACCCUGAAGUGAAGGGCUGUGGGCUUCUACCGGACAGAGAUUACUGUGACCUGGCAGCGUGAUGGGGAGGACCUGACCCAGGACACGGAGCUUGUGGACACCAGGCCUGCCGAGCCGGGACCUUCCAGAAAUGGGUGGCUGUAGUGGUGCCUUCCGGGAGAGGAGCAGAGAUACACGUGCCUGUGCAGCAUGGGAGGCUGCAGGAUCCCGUCAGCCUGAGAUGGAGUAAGAAGGGGGAUGAAGGGGUGGAUUCUAUCCAGACAGCAGAAUACACAACACCUUCUGUAGACCUUCAGCGGCAUCACAGCUGAGGCCCAGAGGUCAGAACUCUCACCUUCCCUUUCAUUCCCGGAGCCCCCGCGUCACUCCAACAUGCCCAUCAUGGGAAUCAUUGCUGGUCUGGCUGUCCUUGGAGCUGUGGUCACUGGACCUGGGACCUGGAGGAGGAAGAGCUCCAGCAGGGAAAGGGGGGAAAAGAUGGAGCUACACUCAGUCUGCAAGCUCUGACCACGUCCUGUUGUACUGUGGCUGUGACAGUGCCCAGGGCUCUGAUGUGUCUCUCAAGGCUUCUAAAGUGUGAGCCAGCUGCCUCGUGGGGGACUGAGUGAUAUAAUGUUUCCCUCUCUCUCUCUGCCCCUCCCCCAUUCUCUCCCUCCCUCUGUCCCUCCCUCCCUC